AAUUUUUUUGAUUCUUCUGUAUUUCUCCUACCUGCAAAAGUCCUCUUUUUCUUUAAAGUAGCAGCUGCAGAGAGGAUGCAAAAUUUAUAGAAGGAUAGUAGCGGUCAGCAGAUCUGUAUUAACAUUUCAGAGUCUUUAGAUGAAAACCCAAGAAGCAGAAACGUGUAAAUUAAAUUAUUUUCAGAUGAAGAUACUUAACACGUGCAUUCUCUGACAUUAGAUUGUGCGUAAUUUUCUUUAAAAAUUUCAAUUCACAUGUAGGUCAGUCUUCUUACGACUUUACAAGCAGAUUUCUUGUGGAAAACAUAUUUCUGAAAAUGGAAAUUCUCAGUAGCAUGACAAAGGAAGAAGGAUUUGCAAAAUUCAUUACAGUAAAUUAAGAGCUUCUUCAGGGGACUCUGCCUUACAUGUUCAAAUGUGCACCUCUUGAGCAGCAUGUUUUUAUGAAAACCAGGAUACAUACACUAUCUGUACAAGCUGAUGUACGUGUCUCACAUGUCAUUAAGAAAAUACCCUAAGUCAUCUUGUACAAAAAUGUGAAUUAGGAACUGUAUAUUUUAGGCAAUCCAGAUCAAUACUUACAAAAUAGGCUUUUUCUGUUUUUCCAGGAAAAAUAAUGAGAGCUGAAUAUUGGGACUUUCAUUCAAGGUAGUGGAGAUUCUACGUACACAAGGAGUCUAAUACAAAUUACUGACAAUGGAAUGAGAUGUAAGGGUGCAGAAGAAGGAAGCGGGCUUUGCUUUGCAACAGUCACCAUUUGCUGCUUAUCUGACCAGUUUUUAACAGCCAGUAGCUCUUCUAUGUAUCAUAGAGGUGAGCCUCCAGAUGUUUAAGGAUGAUUUCACCUACGCUUCAACAUUUACAAAUUAGUAGUGUACUGUGUAAAAGUGCUUUUUAUCUAUAAGCUUCUAAACAUCAACUUGCAAUUGAACAAUUCUUUAAAGAGAUGCUUUCUUUGUGGCACAGUGCUAAGCCAACGAAGUUAAUGGUAGCAUGGAAACUUGAAGAGAGAAGCAAAGCCAACUUUUUACGUACAGUUCCAACAAGAAAUGUUCAUGGAAUCUGAAUUGUUCUUGUGACCAACUGAUUAACUUCACGACACAGAAAGUAUGCACAAUAUUUGACACUCUUGGCAAAGAGUGAUUUUUGUGAUUGAGUGAAAGCGUUUAGUACUAGAUCUCGCAUUGCUUAAAGUCAUUUAACGCAGGGCUGCAGGACACAUUGCUUUGCAUGCCAUCUGCUGUGAAUAAGUUUCAUAUUCAGAAACUUUCUCAGCAAUUUCUUUUUGCUAAGAACUUUUGCUAUUGGUCUACUUUUCUUUAAUUAGGAAAAUAUCACUAAGCUUUUGAAUUUUGCUUUUAAGAGUAAUUGUAGUGCUACAGAAAGAAGUCUGGAUCAAGUAGGACAGGUGCCUAUGACUAUGCACAGUUAGGAUUAUUUUCAAGUGACAUCCAUUGUGGCACUGAGCUUCACUGUCACUUGUUCUGCAUUGUUAGUUAUUUUUAUUUCUCUUGGGACUGGUAUUUCCAUAUCAUCAUGUUCUGCCUUUCUCUCCUUCCUACACAGAACUCACUUACUGAAUUAGUAAUAACUCAAAUUUGCAACUUUGCUUCUCUUUGACACAAUUAUAGUUCAAAUCAUCUCAGUCAUAGAUCCUUCCAGUUGAUACAGAUUUUCAAAAAUGAUGUUCCAGCCAAAAAUCAAGAAUGAUACUGCAUAUUUGUACUUCCUGAAUUGCUGAUGCCAUGUCUACCUACUUCAGUCUGCUUGACGCACUUCCACAGUUACCAAGUUUUGAGUUGUGACCCUAGCACUGUAGUUGCCAGCAAAAAACUACGCCAGCAUAAAUUCUCCAAUAUUUUAAAAUAUGAGAUGUACCAUUACUUGUAUUUUUAACAGAUAAAACCUGAAUAAAGACUAACCAAAACUAGAA